UACGAAGGGGGCUAGCGUUGCUCGGAAUCACUGGGCGUAAAGCGCACGUAGGCGGCUUUUUAAGUCAGGGGUGAAAUCCUGGAGCUCAACUCCAGAACUGCCUUUGAUACUGAGAAGCUUGAGUCCGGGAGAGGUGAGUGGAACUCCGAGUGUAGAGGUGAAAUUCGUAGAUAUUCGGAAGAACACCGGUGGCGAAGGCGGCGCUCUGGACCGAGACUGACGCUGAGGCGCGAAAGCGUGGGGAGCGAACAGG
rnacentral:rRNA from 1 species